rnacentral:tRNA from 1 species
CUAAGGAUGUAGCUGAGUGGUACAGCCCUUGCCUAGUGUGUGCAAGGCCCUGGAUUCGAUCCCCAGCAUGAGG